CCUACGGGUGGCAGCAGUGGGGAAUAUUGGGCAAUGGGCGCAAGCCUGACCCAGCAACGCCGCGUGAAGGAAGAAGGCUUUCGGGUUGUAAACUUCUUUUGACAGGGAAGAGUAGAAGACGGUACCUGUCGAAUAAGCCACGGCUAACUACGUGCCAGCAGCCGCGGUAAUACGGAGGAUGCGAGCGUUAUCCGGAUUUAUUGGGUUUAAAGGGUGCGCAGGCGGAGGUGCAAGUCAGCGGUCAAAUUGCGGGGCUCAACCCCGUACUGCCGUUGAAACUGCAUCCCUUGAGUGCGCGAGAAGUAUGCGGAAUGCGUGGUGUAGCGGUGAAAUGCAUAGAUAUCACGCAGAACUCCGAUUGCGAAGGCAGCAUACCGGCGCGCAACUGACGCUCAUGCACGAAAGCGUGGGUAUCGAACAGAAUUAGAUACCCUUGUAGUC
rnacentral:rRNA from 1 species